UAAUGUCAAGUUCACGGUAUAAUAGAGCUAUAAUUUCUGUUAUGCUCAAUGGUCUUCUUAUAAUUCUUUUGCAAUUGGCAUAUUUCAUCCUCAUAGCAGCAAGCUCUCCAGUCCUGGAGUUCAAAUCUACCUCCAAGUUGGUCAAUCUCUCAGUAGACGCAGCCUCACAAUUGAAUGCAUCAAGAAUGACACUAUGGACUUCAGCCCAUUUAUCUCUGGCCUCUUCAAAUUGAACCCUUAGUGGGGAGAUCUCUUGGCUAAGGGUAUCCACUUCUUGCUCACUUUGCCGCAAACGGGCCUCCAAUACAACGUCCUCAGCAGCUUUGGCUUCCAGUUUUUAGAGGUGAGCAGCAGUUUGGUCUCGCUCGGCCAAAAGUUGAUCCCGUCUGGAGGUAAAUUAUUUUUUUCCCGAAUCAACCUCUAGAGGCCCUUAGAAGUAAAGAAAUUGGCAUGCGAAACAAGAAAGAUGAACUCAAGAUAUUGCUAAAUCAAAGACAGGAGAAAUAACAAAGGAAAUAAAGAGUGUACUUCUACGUCAUUGUGCAUAUCACUGUUCAACAAGCACUCUCCCGAGAAAGCCUAUAUCUUUUCCCAAUCUUUUCCUAAAUCCAAGGGCUUCAGAUAGUUAGUAAGUUCUAUUGGUCGGGAUUGAAAAUUACAUCCGACGAAGAUCAAGAGAGUAACUUUCCUCCUUAUUUGCAGAUCUUCUGAGGAAGCAACAUAAUUUUUCCCUAAAUUCCCAUAACUAGGGAUUGGAGGAGAGAAACAUCCUCUUGUCACAUGGAUGCAGCCAGUGGAGAUAAUGUAACAAUUGCUG
rnacentral:lncRNA from 1 species